GAAUUAGGUGCCAUAUAUUCAUUUCCGCAAGUUAAACUACCUCCAAAAGCAAUUGAAGCUGCAAAACAAGCUGGAAAGGUUCUGGCAUUUCGACUGUCCCUGGUUCAGGGUUUGGUCAAAAGGAAGGAUGGAUAGAACUCUGGCUGACGACCUCUACUCGGAGAUUUUAAAACCAAAAGCAGAAUCGAAUCAACCAUCAGCUCAUCAUAUUACGCAACCCUAGUCAGUAGAUGAUGAGGAUGAAGAGUGGUAUGGAGAUGGAUCAUCAUGGAAUGGUGCAAACGCGAUGCUUGAUCUGUCCUCUGACCUAGACAGAGAAUGGCAAAGAAGAAAAAAGCAAUUCCAUACGGUAUGCAUCCACACAAAUGCACCGUUUUGAAGACGAGUUCCCAGACAUUUUCCGACCUUGCAUUUGAUGACAAAGUAGCAGUUGAGUGUUUAUUGUGGUGGAAGGCGUAUCUUCAGAAUGUAUUGUUGGAGAAAGCCGGCUGGUAUCUUGAACCCUUUACGGAAAGCAAAUUGUCUUCACAUUGGGAUGUAUUUUUGUUUUAAGUAACACGCGAAGAUGUUUGUUUAAUAAAAAACGUGUUCUUCGGUUUAGUUAUUAUCUCUUACGAGCUGCUAACAAC